rnacentral:rRNA from 2 species
GCUAUACAUGCAAGUCGAGCGGACAGAUGGGAGCUUGCUCCCUGAUGUUAGCGGCGGACGGGUGAGUAACACGUGGGUAACCUGCCUGUAAGACUGGGAUAACUCCGGGAAACCGGGGCUAAUACCGGAUGGUUGUUUGAACCGCAUGGUUCAAACAUAAAAGGUGGCUUCGGCUACCACUUACAGAUGGACCCGCGGCGCAUUAGCUAGUUGGUGAGGUAACGGCUCACCAAGGCAACGAUGCGUAGCCGACCUGAGAGGGUGAUCGGCCACACUGGGACUGAGACACGGCCCAGACUCCUACGGGAGGCAGCAGUAGGGAAUCUUCCGCAAUGGACGAAAGUCUGACGGAGCAACGCCGCGUGAGUGAUGAAGGUUUUCGGAUCGUAAAGCUCUGUUGUUAGGGAAGAACAAGUACCGUUCGAAUAGGGCGGUACCUUGACGGUACCUAACCAGAAAGCCACGGCUAACUACGUGCCAGCAGCCGCGGUAAUACGUAGGUGGCAAGCGUUGUCCGGAAUUAUUGGGCGUAAAGGGCUCGCAGGCGGUUUCUUAAGUCUGAUGUGAAAGCCCCCGGCUCAACCGGGGAGGGUCAUUGGAAACUGGGGAACUUGAGUGCAGAAGAGGAGAGUGGAAUUCCACGUGUAGCGGUGAAAUGCGUAGAGAUGUGGAGGAACACCAGUGGCGAAGGCGACUCUCUGGUCUGUAACUGACGCUGAGGAGCG